rnacentral:rRNA from 1 species
UACGUAGGGGGCUAGCGUUGUCCGGAUUUAUUGGGCGUAAAGAGCGUGUAGGCGGCCAGGUAGGUCUGCUGUGAAAACUCGAGGCUUAACCUCGAGAUGUCGGUGGAAACCAUCUGGCUAGAGUCCGGAAGAGGAGAGUGGAAUUCCUGGUGUAGCGGUGAAAUGCGCAGAUAUCAGGAAGAACACCCGUGGCGAAGGCGGCUCUCUGGGACGGUACUGGCGCUGAGACGCGAAAGCGUGGGGAGCGAACAGG